UUCACGACAUAACUUUCCCAAUUCCCCGAAAUGAAUUUCAUUCUAUAUACACAGUGAUGAAGAGCCCAUUUGCUCAUUACAUCAUCUUACAAAUGAAUCUGCAUAAAAGCAAAUGAAUCGUUCAAUCUCUUUUCUUACAUCAUGUUUCGCGUCUCACUCAUUCUCUUCCAAAAAUUUGUCUAAAUCUGAAAUCUGACAUUCAAAAUCAUGUUCGCCCAUCUCGUUGCAUCAUCUGAGAAUUAAGCUUUACCCUAUUUAGUAAAGGAAUUCUGUAAACUACUUGUCUUUCAGAGAGACAAUCAACACAGAAUAAAAUUGCCAGUAGUAGUUAAGAUGACCUCCUGUUCAUUGUAUUAUUUUGGCCGAAUAUUGACUGGUCGCAUCAUCUCAGGAGUCCUUCAUGUCGAAAAUUUGAGGAAGGAAAGGUAAAAAAACUUAUGAAGAAGAAAGGAACAUCCAUGGUUUUGGUUGAUGGUGCAGGGGCUGGUGAUAUAGUAUCUAUGACUGGGUAACUCCAUCAAUCGGCCCCACAGUGGCAAGUUUGGAGGCAAAUUACCCAACCAUUAAGCAUAUUAUUACCCCUCGAAUUGCUCUCACCACAACUGAACACUUGGCUUAUGAAUGUGGGAAGCAUGUUCUGGUUAUCCUAACAGAUAUGAGUUCCUAGGCAGAUGCUCUUUGUGAGGAAAAUGAUCCAACCAUUCAGUGUAUUAUUACCCCUCGAAUUGCUCUCACCACAGCUGAAUACUUGGCUUGUGAUUGCGGGAAGCAUGUUCUGGUCCCAACAGAUAUGAGUUCUUAUGCAGGAGGUAAUGAGAUGCUCUGUCCUAUUAUUUGUUCCGAGAAGAGCAUUGUCUUUUCCUUCAUAAGGUUGCAGUCGCCUAGCCACAUCUAGGGGCCUUAGUAUUAAGUUGUUUGCUUUAGUUAUUGACAUUCACAAUUUCUUAAGAUCGAGUAUUCUUGGAUUGUUGCACAAUAUCAUCAAAAGCCAAUCUCUACUUUUUAAAUAUUCUAGCACAGUUGCGCCAACUGGACAGAAUCCAGUAAUUUCAAAAAGUUGGCAUUCUUCCAAGUGCAUCUGGAUAUAUCGCAUCAGAUUUCUUAUGUCCUAAGCUUUUACAGGUCCUGUAUCUCCUGGAAAAUUAGUUCAUCCACAAUUCAUGGUACUAAAUCGAACAAUUUCCUCACCCAUGGAGGUUGCUGUUCCGAUUCUUUGAUGCGACGUUGUUGUUGGGAUAACCGUUUCCUUUCCUGUUAAUUCAACCAAGUUAGUCAUCAGAGUCUUUGAAAAUUAUCAUAUACUUGAUAAAUUGGCUUAAAAUAGACUAUAUGAAUUUUUACUUUAGUUCUCUGUAUGACAAAUUGGUUAACGAAAGCUUCUUUUUGCUGACAGUUUGCAUGUUCUAUUUUUUUCCUCUAAUUCACGUUGUAACUUCUCCUCUUUCUCUCUUUGUCUCCGUGCCUGUUGUGCUUUCUGCGCCUGUUGUAAAAAUUAUCGAAACAAAUUACUGAAUGACAGUAGUGAUUUACCAA